rnacentral:rRNA from 1 species
CCAGACUCCUACGGGAGGCAGCAGUGGGGAAUAUUGGACAAUGGGGGGAACCCUGAUCCAGCGACGCCGCGUGAGUGAAGAAGUAUUUCGGUAUGUAAAGCUCUAUCAGCAGGGAAGAAAGAAAUGACGGUACCUGACUAAGAAGCCCCGGCUAACUACGUGCCAGCAGCCGCGGUAAUACGUAGGGGGCAAGCGUUAUCCGGAUUUACUGGGUGUAAAGGGAGCGUAGACGGCAGUGCAAGUCUGAAGUGAAAGCCCCGGGCUUAACCCGGGAAUUGCUUUGGAAACUGUACGGCUGGAGUGCUGGAGAGGUAAGCGGAAUUCCUAGUGUAGCGGUGAAAUGCGUAGAUAUUAGGAGGAACACCAGUGGCGAAGGCGGCUUACUGGACAGUAACUGACGUUGAGGCUCGAAAGCGUGGGGAGCAAACAGGAUUAGAUACCCUGGUACA